GCUCUCAUGGUCUAGUGGUUAAGACAGUUGAUUGCAAUACAAACGAUCUAUUGUAAACAUCAAUUGGUCCCUGGUUCGAAUCCGGGUGAGAGCU